GACAGAGGGUGCAAACGUUGCUCGGAAUUACUGGGCGUAAAGCGUGCGCAGGCGGUUAUGCAAGACAGAUGUGAAAUCCCCGGGCUCAACCUGGGAACUGCAUUUGUGACUGCAUGGCUAGAGUACGGUAGAGGGGGAUGGAAUUCCGCGCGUAGCAGUGAAAUGCGUAGAUAUGCGGAGGAACACCGAUGGCGAAGGCAAUCCCCUGGACCUGUACUGACGCUCAUGCACGAAAGCGUGGGGAGCAAACAGG
rnacentral:rRNA from 1 species